rnacentral:rRNA from 1 species
CCUAACAAUGCAGUCGAGCGGUAGAGAGAAGCUUGCUUCUCUUGAGAGCGGCGGACGGGUGAGUAAUGCCUAGGAAUCUGCCUGGUAGUGGGGGAUAACGUUCGGAAACGGACGCUAAUACCGCAUACGUCCUACGGGAGAAAGCAGGGGACCUUCGGGCCUUGCGCUAUCAGAUGAGCCUAGGUCGGAUUAGCUAGUUGGUGAGGUAAUGGCUCACCAAGGCGACGAUCCGUAACUGGUCUGAGAGGAUGAUCAGUCACACUGGAACUGAGACACGGUCCAGACUCCUACGGGAGGCAGCAGUGGGGAAUAUUGGACAAUGGGCGAAAGCCUGAUCCAGCCAUGCCGCGUGUGUGAAGAAGUUCUUCGGAUUGUAAAGCACUUUAAGUUGGGAGGAAGGGUUGUAGAUUAAUACUCUGCAAUUUUGACGUUACCGACAGAAUAAGCACCGGCUAACUCUGUGCCAGCAGCCGCGGUAAUACAGAGGGUGCAAGCGUUAAUCGGAAUUACUGGGCGUAAAGCGCGCGUAGGUGGUUUGUUAAGUUGGAUGUGAAAUCCCCGGGCUCAACCUGGGAACUGCAUUCAAAACUGACUGACUAGAGUAUGGUAGAGGGUGGUGGAAUUUCCUGUGUAGCGGUGAAAUGCGUAGAUAUAGGAAGGAACACCAGUGGCGAAGGCGACCACUUGGACUGAUACUGACACUGAG